rnacentral:snoRNA from 1 species
CUGCUGCUGUUGGUGUUGCUGCUGCUGCUGCAGCAGCAGCAGCAGGAGCAGCAGCAGCAGCAGCAAUAGCUGCUGCAUCUGCUGCUGUCAGAUCUACAGCAGCAGAAGAGCCGCAGCAAACAGC